AUUGAACGCUGGCGGCAUGCCUUACACAUGCAAGUCGAACGGCAGCACGGGAGCAAUCCUGGUGGCGAGUGGCGAACGGGUGAGUAAUAUAUCGGAACGUGCCCAGUCGUGGGGAUAACGUAGCGAAAGCUACGCUAAUACCGCAUACGAUCUAUGGAUGAAAGCGGGGGAUCGCAAGACCUCGCGCGAUUGGAGCGGCCGAUAUCAGAUUAGGUAGUUGGUGAGGUAAAGGCUCACCAAGCCGACGAUCUGUAGCUGGUCUGAGAGGACGACCAGCCACACUGGGACUGAGACACGGCCCAGACUCCUACGGGAGGCAGCAGUGGGGGAAUUUUUGGGACAAUGGGCGGCAAGCCUGAUCCAGCAAUGCCGCGUGCAGGAUGAAGGCC
rnacentral:rRNA from 1 species